UACGAAGGGGGCUAGCGUUGCUCGGAAUCACUGGGCGUAAAGCGCACGUAGGCGGCUUCUUAAGUCAGGGGUGAAAUCCUGGAGCUCAACUCCAGAACUGCCUUUGAUACUGAGGAGCUUGAGUCCGGGAGAGGUGAGUGGAACUGCGAGUGUAGAGGUGAAAUUCGUAGAUAUUCGCAAGAACACCAGUGGCGAAGGCGGCAUCCUGGACCGACAUUGACGCUGAACGGCGAAAGCUAGGGGAGCAAACGGG
rnacentral:rRNA from 1 species